UAGGUACUCCCUCCGUCCGAAAAUACUUGUCAUCAAAAUGGAUAAAAAUGGAUGUAUCUAGAACUAAUAUAUGUCUAUAUACAUCCAUUUUUAUUCAUUUUGAUGACAAGUAUUUCCGGACGGAGGGAGUACAUU
rfam:Triticum aestivum genome assembly, contig: Triticum_aestivum_CS42_TGACv1_scaffold_500192_6BL